rnacentral:rRNA from 1 species
GUGAGGAAUAUUGGUCAAUGGGCGGGAGCCUGAACCAGCCAAGUCGCGUGAAGGAAGAAGGAUCUAUGGUUCGUAAACUUCUUUUGCAGGGGAAUAAAGUGCGGGACGUGUCCUGUUUUGUAUGUACCCUGAGAAUAAGGAUCGGCUAACUCCGUGCCAGCAGCCGCGGUAAUACGGAGGAUCCGAGCGUUAUCCGGAUUUAUUGGGUUUAAAGGGUGCGUAGGUGGUUUGAUACGUCAGCGGUGAAAGUUUGCAGCUUAACUGUAAAAAUGCCGUUGAAACUGUCGGACUUGAGUGUAAAUGAGGUAGGCGGAAUGCGUGGUGUAGCGGUGAAAUGCAUAGAUAUCACGCAGAACUCCGAUUGCGAAGGCAGCUUACUAAGCUACAACUGACACUGAAGCACGAAAGCGUGGGGAUCAAACAGGAUUAGAAACCCUGGUAGUCC